GUAAGGCCUCGCGCGAUUGGAGCGGCCGAUAUCAGAUUAGGUAGUUGGUGGGGUAAAGGCUCACCAAGCCAACGAUCUGUAGCUGGUCUGAGAGGACGACCAGCCACACUGGAACUGAGACACGGUCCAGACUCCUACGGGAGGCAGCAGUGGGGAAUUUUGGACAAUGGACGCAAGUCUGAUGCCAGCCAUUCCGCGUGCAGGAUGAAGGCCCUCGGGUUGUAAACUGCUUUUGUACGGAACGAAAAGGUUUCU
rnacentral:rRNA from 1 species